AAUCAAAUAAAAUCGAAGAAUGACAGUUACAAUGUCGCGAUUGCAAUCACCUUUGAUUGGUUGAUGCUCGC